GACGAACGCUGGCGGCGUGCUUAACACAUGCAAGUCGAACGGAAAGGCCCUGCUUUUGUGGGGUGCUCGAGUGGCGAACGGGUGAGUAACACGUGAGUAACCUGCCCUUGACUUUGGGAUAACUUCAGGAAACUGGGGCUAAUACCGGAUAGGAGCUCCUGCUGCAUGGUGGGGGUUGGAAAGUUUCGGCGGUUGGGGAUGGACUCGCGGCUUAUCAGCUUGUUGGUGGGGUAGUGGCUUACCAAGGCUUUGACGGGUAGCCGGCCUGAGAGGGUGACCGGCCACAUUGGGACUGAGAUACGGCCCAGACUCCUACGGGAGGCAGCAGUGGGGAAUAUUGCACAAUGGGCGGAAGCCUGAUGCAGCAACGCCGCGUGCGGGAUGACGGCCUUCGGGUUGUAAACCGCUUUCGCCUGUGACGAAGCGUGAGUGACGGUGAUGGGUAAAGAAGCACCGGCUAACUACGUGCCAGCAUCCGCGGUGAUACUUAGGGUGCGAGCGUUGUCCGGAUUUAUUGGGCGUAAAGGGCUCGUAGGUGGUUGAUCGCGUCGGAAGUGUAAUCUUGGGGCUUAACCCUGAGCGUGCUUUCGAUACGGGUUGACUUGAGGAAGGUAGGGGAGAAUGGAAUUCCUGGUGGAGCGGUGGAAUGCGCAGAUAUCAGGAGGAACACCAGUGGCGAAGGCGGUUCUCUGGGCCUUUCCUGACGCUGAGGAGCGAAAGCGUGGGGAGCGAACAGGCUUAGAUACCCUGGUAGUCCACGCUGUAAACGGUGGGUACUAGGUGUGGGGUCCAUUCCACGGGUUCCGUGCCGUAGCUAACGCUUUAAGUACCCCGCCUGGGGAGUACGGCCGCAAGGCUAAAACUCAAAGGAAUUGACGGGGCCCCGCACAAGCGGCGGAGCAUGCGGAUUAAUUCGAUGCAACGCGUAGAACCUUACCUGGGUUUGACAUGGAUCGGGAGUGCUCAGAGAUGGGUGUGCCUCUUUUGGGGUCGGUUCACAGGUGGUGCAUGGCUGUCGUCAGCUCGUGUCGUGAGAUGUUGGGUUAAGUCCCGCAACGAGCGCAACCCUUGUUCACUGUUGCCAGCACGUUAUGGUGGGGACUCAGUGGAGACCGCCGGGGUCAACUCGGAGGAAGGUGGGGAUGACGUCAAGUCAUCAUGCCCCUUAUGUCCAGGGCUUCACGCAUGCUACAAUGGCUGGUACAGAGAGUGGCGAGCCUGUGAGGGUGAGCGAAUCUCGGAAAGCCGGUCUCAGUUCGGAUUGGGGUCUGCAACUCGACCUCAUGAAGUCGGAGUCGCUAGUAAUCGCAGAUCAGCAACGCUGCGGUGAAUACGUUCCCGGG
rnacentral:rRNA from 1 species